UACGUAGGGUGCAAGCGUUAAUCGGAAUUACUGGGCGUAAAGCGUGCGCAGGCGGUAAUGUAAGUCAGAUGUGAAAUCCCCGGGCUCAACCUGGGAACUGCAUUUGUGACUGCAUUGCUGGAGUGCGGCAGAGGGGGAUGGAAUUCCGCGUGUAGCAGUGAAAUGCGUAGAUAUGCGGAGGAACACCGAUGGCGAAGGCAAGCCCCUGGGCCUGCACUGACGCUGAGGAGCGAAAGCGUGGGGAGCGAACAGG
rnacentral:rRNA from 1 species